CACGGUAGGGGCCAAGCGUGUCCGGAUUUAUUGGGCGUAAAGAGCGUGUAGGCGGUUUUACAGGUCCGCUGUGAAAACUCGAGGCUCAACCUCGAGCUGUCGGUGGAAACCGUAAGGCUAGAGUCCGGAAGAGGAGAGUGGAAUUCCUGGUGUAGCGGUGAAAUGCGCAGAUAUCAGGAAGAACACCCGUGGCGAAGGCGGCUCUCUGGGACGGUACUGAC
rnacentral:rRNA from 1 species